rnacentral:rRNA from 1 species
CCUACGGGGGGCUGCAGUAGGGAAUAUUGGGCAAUGGAGGAAACUCUGACCCAGCCAUGCCGCGUGAAGGAUGAAGGUCCUACGGAUUGUAAACUUCUUUUAUUAGGGAAGAAACGUUUUGAUUCAUCAGAACUUGACGGUACCUAAGGAAUAAGCACCGGCUAACUCCGUGCCAGCAGCCGCGGUAAUACGGAGGGUGCAAGCGUUAUCCGGAUUCACUGGGUUUAAAGGGUGCGUAGGUGGAUUGAUAAGUCAGUGGUGAAAGCCCCGAGCUCAACUUGGGAAUUGCCAUUGAUACUGUUAGUCUUGAGUUCGGUUGAGGUAGGCGGAAUAAGUCAUGUAGCGGUGAAAUGCUUAGAUAUGACUUAGAACACCGAUUGCGAAGGCAGCUUACCAAGCCGACACUGACACUGAGGCACGAAAGCGUGGGGAUCAAACAGGAUUAGAUACCCCUGUAGUC